UACGUAGGUGGCGAGCGUUGUCCGGAUUUACUGGGCGUAAAGGGAGCGUAGGCGGACUUUUAAGUGAGAUGUGAAAUACUCGGGCUCAACUUGAGUGCUGCAUUUCAAACUGGAAGUCUAGAGUGCAGGAGAGGAGAAUGGAAUUCCUAGUGUAGCGGUGAAAUGCGUAGAGAUUAGGAAGAACACCAGUGGCGAAGGCGACUCUCUGGACUGUAACUGACGCUGAGGCUCGAAAGCGCGGGGAGCAAACAGG
rnacentral:rRNA from 1 species